UGACCUCGGAUCAGGUAGGACUACCCGCUGAACUUAAGCAUAUCA
rnacentral:rRNA from 1 species